rnacentral:rRNA from 1 species
ACGGAAGGCAGCAGUGGGGAAUAUUGCACAAUGGGCGCAAGCCUGAUGCAGCGAUGCCGCGUGAGGGAAGAAGGUUUUCGGAUUGUAAACCUCUGUCAACAGGGACGAAAAUGACUGUACCUGUGAAGGAAGCUCCGGCUAACUACGUGCCAGCAGCCGCGGUAAUACGUAGGGAGCGAGCGUUAUCCGGAAUUACUGGGUGUAAAGGGAGUGUAGGCGGGACUGUAAGUCAGAUGUGAAAUAUGCCAGCUCAACUGGCAGACUGCAUUUGAAACUGCGGUUCUUGAGUGAAGUAGAGGUAAGCGGAAUUCCUAGUGUAGCGGUGAAAUGCGUAGAUAUUAGGAAGAACACCAGUGGCGAAGGCGGUUAGCUGGACAAUAACUGACGCUGAGGCGCGAAAGCGUGGGUAGCAAACAGGAUUAGAUACCCUGGUA